rnacentral:rRNA from 1 species
UAUAGUUUGGAUCUGGCUCAGGAUGAACGCUGGCGGCGUGCCUAAUACAUGCAAGUCGAACGCGCAGCGAGAGGUGCUUGCACCUUUCAAGCGAGUGGCGAACGGGUGAGUAACACGUGGAUAACCUGCCUCAAGGCUGGGGAUAACAUUUGGAAACAGAUGCUAAUACCGAAUAAAACUUAGUAUCGCAUGAUAUAAAGUUAAAAGGCGCUACGGCGUCACCUAGAGAUGGAUCCGCGGUGCAUUAGUUAGUUGGUGGGGUAAAGGCUUACCAAGACAAUGAUGCAUAGCCGAGUUGAGAGACUGAUCGGCCACAUUGGGACUGAGACACGGCCCAAACUCCUACGGGAGGCUGCAGUAGGGAAUCUUCCACAAUGGGCGCAAGCCUGAUGGAGCAACGCCGCGUGUGUGAUGAAGGCUUUCGGGUCGUAAAGCACUGUUGUAUGGGAAGAAAUGCUAAAAUAGGGAAUGAUUUUAGUUUGACGGUACCAUACCAGAAAGGGACGGCUAAAUACGUGCCAGCAGCCGCGGUAAUACGUAUGUCCCGAGCGUUAUCCGGAUUUAUUGGGCGUAAAGCGAGCGCAGACGGUUGAUUAAGUCUGAUGUGAAAGCCCGGAGCUCAACUCCGGAAUGGCAUUGGAAACUGGUUAACUUGAGUGUUGUAGAGGUAAGUGGAACUCCAUGUGUAGCGGUGGAAUGCGUAGAUAUAUGGAAGAACACCAGUGGCGAAGGCGGCUUACUGGACAACAACUGACGUUGAGGCUCGAAAGUGUGGGUAGCAAACAGGAUUAGAUACCCUGGUAGUCCACACCGUAAACGAUGAAUACUAGGUGUUAGGAGGUUUCCGCCUCUUAGUGCCGAAGCUAACGCAUUAAGUAUUCCG